rnacentral:rRNA from 1 species
GAUGAACGCUGGCGGUGUGCCUAAUACAUGCAAGUCGAGCGAACAGACGAGGAGCUUACUCCUCUGACGUUAGCGGCGGACGGGUGAGUAACACGUGGAUAGCCUACCUAUAAGACUGGGAUAACUUCGGGAAACCGGAGCUAAUACCGGAUAACAUGUUGAACCGCAUGGUUCAACAGUGAAAGACGGUCUUGCUGUCACUUAUAGAUGGCUCCGCGUCGCAUUAGCUAGUUGGUAAGGUAACGGCUUACCAAGGCAACGAUGCGUAGCCGACCUGAGAGGGUGAUCGGCCACACUGGAACUGAGACACGGUCCAGACUCCUACGGGAGGCAGCAGUAGGGAAUCUUCCGCAAUGGGCGAAAGCCUGACGGAGCAACGCCGCGUGAGUGAAGAAGGUCUUCGGAUCGUAAAACUCUGUUAUUAGGGAAGAACAAAUGUGUAAGUAACUAUGCACGUCUUGACGGUACCUAAUCAGAAAGCCACGGCUAACUACGUG